CUGUCUCUCUUCAGUCUUGUCUCUGUCUUCCUGAAAUGCUUGAGCUUUAUAAAUCAGGUGUAUUAAAGGUUUUAUAUGUGAAGCUGCAUAUGACUGCUAUCCCCUCCACAUUUCUCUCUCUCUCUCUUUUACUCUCUUUCUCAUUUUUAAUCCUCCUCUCACAGAAAGCACUCUGCACAUGUCUUAAAAGUGAGUCAGUGAAUAAAAGGCCGUUUGAUGUUUUUUUUUAUUCUAGCUGCACUUUCAUUGCUGCGUGAAAUUAAUAUCUUUGCUAACAGCUGUCCAAAGGAGGUGUAGUGUGCUCUCUGAUCUGUUUAAAACAGCCACAGGUCCACAUGAAUGCACUGUUUCCAUCCUUUCAGCCAUUAAUGGCUGUUAACAUGUUCCAUUUUCUCUAUCAAUCACAAUCUGAGUGUGUGAUGGUGAGUUUAGUGGCUUCCAUUCGAUUUGCUUUGAAGGGAGUUUUCAGAAUGCUGAGGUCAGCUGUGAUUGGGGUGUGUUUAGGGGUGGAGCUAGAGGUGUGGUUUGGGCAGAGCCAUAGAGAGAGAGAGUUGCGACAACUCCAUAGACUCCAAUGGAACGUUUUUUUACAGCAAUGGCGGCUCGUGGAGCCUCUCAAUAGUUCCCGGAAGUAGCAGCCGCGCCGUAGAGUUACAGCAGAACAGACCGUUUGUGAUGUACUUUUAAAAGCACAAAGGGGAUUCAGAUCCUGAAGACUCCAUGCAAUGAUGCUGUCACCGCCAGUCUCUGCUCCUUGGAUUUUGCAAGCUUUUCCUUGCUCCUUAUUUUUAAUAAACCUUUAAUAAACAUAAAAA